UUACUGGGCGUAAAGCGCAUGCAGGUGGUUUGUUAAGUCAGAUGUGAAAGCCCGGGGCUCAACCUCGGAAUAGCAUUUGAAACUGGCAGACUAGAGUACUGUAGAGGGGGGUAGAAUUUCAGGUGUAGCGGUGAAAUGCGUAGAGAUCUGAAGGAAUACCGGUGGCGAAGGCGGCCCCCUGGACAGAUACUGACACUCAGAUGCGAAAGCGUGGGGAGCAAACAGGAUUAGAUACCCUGGUAGUCCACGCCGUAAACGAUGUCUACUUGGAGGUUGUGGCCUUGAGCCGUGGCUUUCGGAGCUAACGCGUUAAGUAGACCGCCUGGGGAGUACGGUCGCAAGAUUAAAACUCAAAUGAAUUGACGGGGGCCCGCACAAGCGGUGGAGCAUGUGGUUUAAUUCGAUGCAACGCGAAGAACCUUACCUACUCUUGACAUCCAGAGAACUUUCCAGAGAUGGAUUGGUGCCUUCGGGAACUCUGAGACAGGUGCUGCAUGGCUGUCGUCAGCUCGUGUUGUGAAAUGUUGGGUUAAGUCCCGCAACGAGCGCAACCCUUAUCCUUGUUUGCCAGCGAGUAAUGUCGGGAACUCCAGGGAGACUGCCGGUGAUAAACCGGAGGAAGGUGGGGGACGACGUCAAGUCAUCAUGGCCCUUACGAGUAGGGCUACACACGUGCUACAAUGGCGCAUACAGAGGGCGGCCAACUUGCGAAAGUGAGCGAAUCCCAAAAAGUGCGUCGUAGUCCGGAUUGGAGUCUGCAACUCGACUCCAUGAAGUCGGAAUCGCUAGUAAUCGUGGAUCAGAAUGCCACGGUGAAUACGUUCCCGGGCCUUGUACACACCGCCCGUCACACCAUGGGAGUGGGCUGCAAAAGAAGUAGGUAGUUUAACCUUCGGGGGGACGCU
rnacentral:rRNA from 1 species